rnacentral:rRNA from 1 species
CCAGACUCCUACGGGAGGCAGCAGUGAGGAAUAUUGGUCAAUGGCCGAGAGGCUGAACCAGCCAAGUCGCGUGAGGGAUGACGGCCCUACGGGUUGUAAACCUCUUUUGCCGGGGAGCAAAGAGCGGGACGCGUCCCGCCUCGAGAGUACCCGGAGAAAAAGCAUCGGCUAACUCCGUGCCAGCAGCCGCGGUAAUACGGAGGAUGCGAGCGUUAUCCGGAUUUAUUGGGCGUAAAGCGUGCGCAGGCGGCUUAUUAAGUCUAAGAUUAAAGCCCGGAGCUUAACUCCGGUUCGUCCUAGAAACUGGUAGGCUUGAGUAUGGUAGAGGCAAAUGGAAUUCCUAGUGUAGCGGUGGAAUGCGUAGAUAUUAGGAGGAGCACCAGUGGCGAAGGCGAUUUGCUGGGCCAUCACUGACGCUCAUGCACGAAAGCGUGGGGAGCAAAUAGGAUUAGAUACCCGAGUAAUG